AUGUCGAAGAUCACAGUUGACCGCCUCCUCCAUGUCCAGCUCGUGCCCGACGAUCUCAUGGGAAAGGGGCUCCAUGACAUCCAUCGCACCAUACUCGGCAAGCAUCUCGCCAUCCACAUCCGCCAUCUCUUUGGAAAAGGCCGCCACGAGCUGGUCGUGGGCAGCCGCGGUCUAGGCUUGGACGGACUCCAUCAUGGCAAGGUAUGCCUCGAACGAACGAACGGCUGCCCAAAUGCUCUCGACGAUUACCAACUCUUCGGCCGUGGGUUGCUGACCGUUGUCGGAGAAGCUUCGUCGAUUUGUGCGGUGACUGCCAGGAGCUGGGCAUGGGCGGCCUCGACAUGGUCGUGGGCGGCCUCCAUCAGGGCUAAGUGGAUUGCAGCCGCGCUUACGCAGGGCAGAGGCCGACAUUCAAGGCAGAGCAGAGGCCUGCAUUCAAGACCAAGAAGGGAGAAGAGAAGCUGCCAUCGAUGCCGUGCUAAGGGCCACAUUGCUAUCGACUUUCGCGACCCUUUCAACUGCAACCUCUGCUCCUGGAGUAGGCACAAGGUAAGCAGUUGCCCUCCGCACUUUGGAACCCCACUGCACCACCACAGCAAGCGGCUUCCGCAGUCCCGACGACGACCAGCCUCCGCCAACCGCUUGUGGCUGCCAUGCCUCGCAUGGGCGACCUCGAGACUCGCCCUGAGGAGGGCGUGGUGGUCAUGUCCACCAACCCAGCACUGGAGUAGCAGACUGCUUUCUUGUCGAGCAAUGCAAUGUUGGUGUGGCUGGGUGGUCCCGGCCCCGCGUCUUCGCGGCUGCCAUCGUCGACGCCAUUGCCGCUCGCUUCCGCAUCAGCAAGGAGUUGUUCGGCAUCAUGUCGCACUCCCAAAGGAUUUCUUCAUCACCUUCCGCCAUCAGCAUCAUCGCGACUCAGUCACCACGGCCCCGGGCAGCUUUGGGGCGGGCAAGCUAGACAUCCGCCUGUCCAACUGGUCUCUGCGCGCCCACGCCCAUGCCGAAGCGGUGCAGCUCAGGCACCAUGUGCAUUUGAGUCUGGAGAAAGUCCUGCUUAAUGCGUGGAAUGAGGAGGUGGUCGCGAAGCUCCUUGGUAGCGCGGUUGUUGCUCACUACUUCGACGCCGCCACAACGCAGAAGGCGGAUGCGUCCUCGCUCAAUCUGUGGGCAUGGACGGCGAAUCCCUCCAAGAUUCCCAAGGUCAUGUGGCUCACCAUCAUUGGCGGUAGCGUGACCGGUGACAACAUCAUCGUCUCUAGCUCUGGCCCUCUUCCUGGCUUCAUCAACGUUGCCAGCAGCUCCUCUUCGGCAUUGCGGCAAGGAAGGGCGGGGCUCACCUACAGGCGAAGGCGCCAUGACAGAGGGGGUGACGAUGAGCGCCACGGCCGUGACUCGGGGUGCCAGCAGUCCUGGGGCGCACGUUUCUUCCGUAGCCCGCACGUGCUGCUGACGAGCGCCGGGACAGGGAUGGGCGCAGAGGAGAUGAUCACAGUGAUCGAAGGAGAGAUGGAGAUGUUGUGGUUGGACAGCCCACUGGCAAUGCAGUCGUCCUGGCGACUCAGCAAGAUGGCAGAGACAGCUGGCACCCUCGUUUGGCAUCGCAUCCAGAGGUCGCUGGAAGGGGCGGUGCCCGAGCCUACCUCACCACCUACUAGCGGCCGGAGCCCCCUUCAUCACCCCUCGCAGGGCUCCGCCAGGAGGCGCUCCAGGGACAAUCGGACGCCGCCUAGGUCCCCCAUCUCGGUGCUGCCGACGACGCCGGGCUCCAAGGGUGGACAAACUACUCCAGUGGAGACGCUCAGCACCAAAACCCAAGCGGCACUGCGCAUAUGCUCGCCGGCAGCUCUGAUUCGUCCGCUGAUGGUCACAACACCUGCGGGUCCUGCUGGCUCGGGGAGUGCCCAGCCCCAAACCCCAACCGCUCCCUCUCCAACGCCUGCUGUAGCUGAAGAUGAAGAUGAAGAUGAAGCGCCUGAUGGUUUUGGUCACCUGUUCCAGCAGAACAAGAGAGUGUUGCUGGGCUCCCCUGCCCCAUCGUCAUGCAGACGGUUGGCAAAGAGGCGCAAAACCCUGGCUGGGGUUCCCAUUGGGUACACUCUGCGCCAUUCCAGUGCGCGCUUGAGGGCUGCUGGCCGCGCACGCUUGGCUCCUGCGGAGGGCGCUGCUCAGAAGCUCGUCUGCCAAGGGAUGGGAAUUGUGCAGGUUAGAGAAGGUGUCACCGAGGCGGCGGUCAGCGAAUUCCAAAACAGAUUCAAAGAGCAGCUCACUGAUGAGAUGAUCAAAGCAAUGCAGGAGAUCUUCAAGCUGGAUGAUGUUGCUGUCACGGCGGUGGAGGAGGGCCUGAUUGCUCAUGGAGGAUCUGCUGCCCUCGACCAUGAUGACGAGGCCCUGGUGGUUGAUGCCUGA
rnacentral:rRNA from 1 species